rnacentral:rRNA from 1 species
UGGGGAAUUGUUCGCAAUGGGCGCAAGCCUGACGACGCAACGCCGCGUGGAGGAUGAAGAUUUUCGGAUCGUAAACUCCUUCCGAUCGGGACGAAUCGGUCGCGACCUAACACGUCGUGGCACUGACGGUACCGAGAGAAGAAGCCCCGGCUAACUCCGUGCCAGCAGCCGCGGUAAUACGGGGGGGGGCUAGCGUUGUUCGGAAUUACUGGGCGUAAAGGGCGCGUAGGCGGCCUACUAAGUCGGACGUGAAAUCCCUCGGCUCAACCGGGGAACUGCGUCCGAUACUGGUGGGCUUGAAUCCGGGAGAGGGAUGUGGAAUUCCAGGUGUAGCGGUGAAAUGCGUAGAUAUCUGGAGGAACACCGGUGGCGAAGGCGGCAUCCUGGACCGGUAUUGACGCUGAUGCGCGAAAGCCAGGGGAGCAAAC